rnacentral:rRNA from 1 species
UACGUAGGGGGCGAGCGUUAUCCAGAUUUACUGGGCGUAAAGCGCGCGCAGGCGGUCCUUUAAGUCUGAUGUGAAAGCCCACGGCUCAACCGUGGAGGGUCAUUGGAAACUGGGGGACUUGAGUACAGAAGAGAAGAGUGGAAUUCCACGUGUAGCGGUGAAAUGCGUAGAGAUGUGGAGGAACACCAGUGGCGAAGGCGACUCUUUGGUCUGUAACUGACGCUGAGGCGCGAAAGCGUGGGGAGCAAACAGG